rnacentral:rRNA from 1 species
UACGGAGGGGGUUAGCGUUGUUCGGAAUUACUGGGCGUAAAGCGCACGUAGGCGGAUUGGAAAGUUGGGGGUGAAAUCCCGGGGCUCAACCCCGGAACGGCCUCCAAAACUCCCAGUCUAGAGUUCGAGAGAGGUGAGUGGAAUUCCGAGUGUAGAGGUGAAAUUCGUAGAUAUUCGGAGGAACACCAGUGGCGAAGGCGGCUCACUGGCUCGAUACUGACGCUGAGGUGCGAAAGUGUGGGGAGCAAACAGG